rnacentral:lncRNA from 1 species
UACAAUAAUCAAGAACUGAUACAUCCAAUCCUAAAUUAAAAAUCAAGAACAUGAUACUGCAAAUAUUUUUAGUUUUACAAAAUCACAAACCUGAUGAAUAAAAGAGAGAUAUCAUACUUUUGAUUAAUCAAUAAGUAAUUACACACAUAAAACUAACAAAAUCACAAUACACUUCCUAAAGAACCUGAUGAAUAAAAGAGAGAUAUCAUGCUUUUGAUUGCUUUAGUUUUACAAAUACUUUUGUGAAACUCUAACAUCCACACUCAUGUUCAAUAACUUGACGAAUAAAUAAAUGGAACUAGAAACAAAAGGCUGCAGCAGGAGAGAUCAAACAACUUUUCUACUAACCUGCAUUCUUUGUCAAUCUGCAGGCAUGCUUCAUGCAUAUUGAUAUCUACGCGAUCCAUCAAACUUUCCUCCGUAACACG